UACUAACUAAAAAUUGAAAAAACAACAAUAAAUAAUAAAAAAUAAUAAUAAAAAAUUGAAAAAAUCAAAAAAUUCUUAAAAAAUUGCAAAAUAACGCUUUAUCGGGUUAAAAUUGAAAAAUAACCCUUUUUCGGGUUAAAAUUGAAAAAAGAUGUUACAUAAAAAUAGUUUGUAAGAUUUUCUAACAGCAUAUAUGCAAAGUAUUUUGAUUUAUUUGAAAAUAAUUGAAAAUAGAUUUUUCAAGGACGGUGUCGAGGUCACGGGGUCGGUGUCGUUUUUCGAAAUUUGUUAACUUAAUAUAAUAGAAGAUGUUUCAUUUUAAAUUAAGAAAUGAUAAAAUUAUUAAGUUAAAAACAUUUGAUUUUAAUGACACUUAAAAUUAGACACAAUAUUAUAGGUUACUAACUAAAAAUUGAAAAAACAACAAUAAAUAAUAAAAAAUAAUAAUAAAAAAUUGAAAAAAUCAAAAAAUUCUUAAAAAAUUGCAAAAUAACCCUUUUUCGGGUUAAAAUUGAAAAAAGAUGUUACAUAAAAAUAGUUCGUAAGAUUUUCUAACAGCAUAUAUGCAAAGUAUUUUGAUUUAUUUGAAAAUAAUUGAAAAUAGAUUUUUCAAGGACGGUGUCGAGGUCACGGGGUCGGUGUCGUUUUUCGAAAUUUGUUAACUUAAUAUAAUAGAAGAUGUUUCGCUUUAAAUUAAGAAAUGUUAAAAUUAUUAAGUUAAAAACAUUUGAUUUUAAUGACACUUAAAAUUAGACACAAUAUUAUAGGUUACUAACUAAAAAUUGAAAAAACAACAAUAAAUAAUAAAAAAUAAUAAUAAAAAAUUGAAAAAAUCAAAAAAUUCUUAAAAAAUUGUAAAAUAACCCUUUUUCGGGUUAAAAUUUCAAAAUAACCCUUUUUCGGGUUAAAAUUGAAAAAUAACCCUUUUUCGGGUUAAAAUUGAAAAAAGAUGUUACAUAAAAAUAGUUUGUAAGAUUUUCUAACAGCAUAUAUGCAAAGUAUUUUGAUUUAUUUGAAAAUAAUUGAAAAUAGAUUUUUCAAGGACGGUGUCGAGGUCACGGGAUCGGUGUCGUUUUUCGAAAUUUGUUAACUUAAUAUAAUAGAAGAUGUUUCGUUUUAAAUUAAGAAAUGUUAAAAUUAUUAAGUUAAAAACAUUUGAUUUUAAUGACACUUAAAAUUAGACACAAUAUUAUAGGUUACUAACUAAAAAUUGAAAAAACAACAAUAAAUAAUAAAAAAUAAUAAUAAAAAAUUGAAAAAAUCAAAAAAUUCUUAAAAAAUUGCAAAAUAACCCCUUUUCGGGUUAAAAUUGCAAAAUAACCCUUUUUCGGGUUAAAAUUGAAAAAUAACCCUUUUUCGGGUUAAAAUUGAAAAAAGAUGUUACAUAAAAAUAGUUUGUAAGAUUUUCUAACAGCAUAUAUGCAAAGUAUUUUGAUUUAUUUGAAAAUAAUUGAAAAUAGAUUUUUCAAGGACGGUGUCGAGGUCACGGGGUCGGUGUCGUUUUUCGAAAUUUGUUAACUUAAUAUAAUAGAAGAUGUUUCGUUUUAAAUUAAGAAAUGUUAAAAUUAUUAAGUUAAAAACAUUUGAUUUUAAUGACACUUAAAAUUAGACACAAUAUUAUAGGUUACUAACUAAAAAUUGAAAAAACAACAAUAAAUAAUAAAAAAUAAUAAUAAAAAAUUGAAAAAAUCAAAAAAUUCUUAAAAAAUUGCAAAAUAACCCCUUUUCGGGUUAAAAUUGCAAAAUAACCCUUUUUCGGGUUAAAAUUGAAAAAUAACCCUUUUUCGGGUUAAAAUUGAAAAAAGAUGUUACAUAAAAAUAGUUUGUAAGAUUUUCUAACAGCAUAUAUGCAAAGUAUUUUGAUUUAUUUGAAAAUAAUUGAAAAUAGAUUUUUCAAGGACGGUGUCGAGGUCACGGGGUCGGUGUCGUUUUUCGAAAUUUGUUAACUUAAUAUAAUAGAAGAUGUUUCGUUUUAAAUUAAGAAAUGUUAAAAUUAUUAAGUUAAAAACAUUUGAUUUUAAUGACACUUAAAAUUAGACACAAUAUUAUAGGUUACUAACUAAAAAUUGAAAAAACAACAAUAAAUAAUAAAAAAUAAUAAUAAAAAAUUGAAAAAAUCAAAAAAUUCUUAAAAAAUUGCAAAAUAACCCCUUUUCGGGUUAAAAUUGCAAAAUAACCCUUUUUCGGGUUAAAAUUGAAAAAUAACCCUUUUUCGGGUUAAAAUUGAAAAAAGAUGUUACAUAAAAAUAGUUUGUAAGAUUUUCUAACAGCAUAUAUGCAAAGUAUUUUGAUUUAUUUGAAAAUAAUUGAAAAUAGAUUUUUCAAGGACGGC